UACGUGGGGGGCAAGCGUUGUCCGGAUUUAUUGGGCGUAAAGAGCGUGUAGGCGGCCAUACAGGUCAGCUGUGAAAACUCGAGGCUCAACCUCGAGACGUCGGUUGAAACCGUAUGGCUAGAGUCCGGAAGAGGAGAGUGGAAUUCCCGGUGUAGCGGUGAAAUGCGCAGAUAUCGGGAAGAACACCCGUGGCGAAGGCGGCUCUCUGGGACGGUACUGGACGCUGAGACGCGAAAGCGUGGGGAGCGAACAGG
rnacentral:rRNA from 1 species